UGAUAUGCAUAUCAAAUAUUUUAUAAUUAGUCGAAUUUCACAAUUUCAAAAAAGAAAUAAAAUUGAAAAAUAAGAAGUUAAAGAAAAAGAAAAAACAGAUGUAUGGAUAAUAAAUAAACAUUCAAUUUUAUUAUAACUACAAAAUUGCCACUCAAUUUUGAAAUUGAUUUGAAAUCAAUUUGAAAUUGAAAACUCCUUUUUUAAUAUAGUAUAGAUUUGAUCUAUAUAAGGGGGAGGGGACGUGAGGAAAUCUCUGAAAUUAGGGGUAUUGUUGCUCAACGUCCAUAAGAUGUCUGAAAGAAUUCCAUAAUACGUACGGGCUACUGCUGUAAAAAAAAAUCACGAAUAUUUUUUUUUGAAUUAAAAUUACAAGAGACAUCUAUAUAUACUCAAAUAAGUAAUUCGUAUGUAGGUGGAACUACUACUCACCAAAAAAAAAAUACACACGCAGGCGUGGGAACACUAUCAACACAAAAAAUGGAAAAAAUACCACACAAAGUGAAAACACUAGCCACACAAAAGUUAAAAAACUAC
rnacentral:lncRNA from 1 species